AUGUGUGUUUACCGCCCUUCAUGAGUCGGAAAAACGCUAUUUUCCUUACCGUUAACAUGAACCGGACGCUACUCGGCGUUAUGUCAUAGAAUAAUGCUUGUCGGUAACUGAGAGUCUGCGCUGCAAAAUCUUUCCUAUUUUAUUUUCAGCUACUGUCAACUGAAAUGUAUACACUUACUUUAGUUGUUGGAAUAGGAGGGGUGACCAAUGGCGGGAAGUCCACGUUGGCUACCAAUCUACAGAAGAAGCUGCCACACAGUUGCAUCAUUGCACAGGACACAUUUUUUAAAGAUGACUCUGUGGUACCUGUCGACAGUAAUGGAUUCAAACAAUAUGACCUGCUGGAUGCUCUGCACAUGGACAAGAUGAUGGAGGAGAUCUACUCGUGGUGGCGGGACCCACAGUCCUACCACCAGUCAACAUGUGCCACAACGGAAGCUGGCCGCACGGAGGUCUUUGUGGUGAUCGUAGAGGGCUUCCUCAUAUUCAACCACAGGCCUUUGAAUGAAUUAAUGAACAAAAAAUACUUCCUGGAAAUCCCUUAUGAUGAAUGUCAGAAUAGGAGAUGUUCAAGAGUGUACACGCCCCCAGAUCCGCCGGGGUAUUUUGACGGACACGUUUGGCCGAUGUACCUGAAGAAUCGUCAGGAGAUGCAGCUGCAAGGGAUCGGUCAGAAACUUCCAGAAACUAAUAGGGGCUUGAGUAUUGUCAUGAAAGAAGGAAGAAGUUUUUCUGGAUGGAUUGAAGUCAGAAGCUGAGCUACUACGAUAUGUAUAUGAUGAUAUAACUACGGAAAUCAAAAACCUCAGGGGAAAGACUGAAAUUAAUUCAGUCAAUUUGUAAGGAUCAAAGCAGAUGUCAUGGAAGUUUGUCAAUUCUCCCUGCUGGACCAAAUGUUUUUCAUUGCAAAGACUGUUAUUUUGGUAUUGAGGUUUAAGCCCUUUUUCACUUUUAUACGUGGUGCUUGGUUCAUUGAACGUUUGAGCAUUAAUAUGCAAGUUAUUAAGUCAAUAGGACACCCAAUAUGCUACUUAAACCACUCUGUAUUUUCACGUCUUUUAUGUAUUGACAAAUUCUGUGUAAUGUUUAUGUACUGGUAUUUUUUAUUCCAUACUAUGCUGAUAAAAUAAUUAUUGUGGUACUUGUUACAACAUUGGUACAUACAGUACCAAUGUUUUUAUCUUUUAAGCUAUCCGUCUUAAUCAUUAAUUAAAAUGUGAAAAAUCUAUUUGAAAAGUGGACUAAAUAAAUAUUACGAUUACCAUACUUCCAGGGAUGUACAAGUGUGGGACUGGGUGUGGAUAAUGGGUGGUUUGGGCAGCACCUACCUGGCCGAAUCUGAUUGGACUCUUGGGCUGGGUGACGCUGCACAACUGUUGCACAUUGAGUAUCAGUGUGCACAGGUUAAACCAGCCAUCUCCAAAACACACUUCUCCUAGAUGGCAACAUGUAACACCAGGACAUGUAUAAUUUUGUGCAAACUAAUAAAAUAAAAACGGAUUCAACAUCA